CCCACCAUCUCCGACUACUACUUGUAUUUUUAUAUAAGUAACUCUGUUUAAGACUAAUUUCAAAAUCUCAUCAUUCUAAAAUGCUCCAAUUUAACUCACCCUUAACUCAUUGGUUCUACUACUAUUUGUCUAUUACUCCUCUCUCUCUCUCUCUCACGUUGACUCGAACACUAACCCUGUACCACCGCUCAAGAUCUCCUGCAACGCGGGUUGAGCGUGACGGUGUUCCUCCUCAUAUGUCACGAUCAGCAUCUUCGGAUCAUCGUUGGCCCUUUCUACAUGCUUCCUCGCUGGGCACCCUCUAACAGUACUACACCUGUAAUAUCCCCGGGGGUAUGGUGACCCCUUGAUUGGCUUUUGACCAUACUUUCUCCACGAGUACUCGUCCUGUGGGAUGUCGGCGAUUUUCGAACUAAUCGCUGGGACUCUAAUUGUUUUUUUCACCCGAUUUUUCCUUCUCUUGGAGCAAUGGCACUUGCUGCUGGCGGAUCCCGAGAACUUUCCAGACAUUUCAUCGGAAUAAUCAUGCUCGUGGCAUCUCUUCUUGUUGUACGGCCCCGAUGAGAGCGGAGGCUUGCCGUCGGAGAACGCAGGCGCCAAGAAAAUCGAGGAUCCUUGCUUACCAUUCGAAACGCUACCGUCUCCGGUUAUAGCGGAGGACAUGAAAGAUGAGCUAGACGAUACGCUAAAGCUUUCUUUUGUGAACCCAAGCUCCGCGCUUUUACCAUUAGAGCUAAAUAUGCUAGGUUUU
rnacentral:misc_RNA from 1 species